UCUAGUCAAUGACUAGAAGUGUUUCUGAUA
rnacentral:piRNA from 1 species